GUCUCUUUGAAGACAUUUGAUAAUAUUGGAGCAAUACAGAGAAGAUUAGCAUGACCUCUGCACAAGGAUGACACGCAUAAAUUGAGAAAUGGUCCAAAAUUUU